rnacentral:rRNA from 1 species
AUGAUGUGGUUUAAUUCGAUGCAACGCGAAAAACCUUACCUACCUUUGACAUGUACGGAAUUCGCCAGAGAUGGCUUAGUGCUCGAAAGAGAACCGUAACACAGGUGCUGCAUGGCUGUCGUCAGCUCGUGUCGUGAGAUGUUGGGUUAAGUCCCGCAACGAGCGCAACCCUUGUCAUUAGUUGCUACAUUUAGUUGGGCACUCUAAUGAGACUGCCGGUGACAAACCGGAGGAAGGUGGGGAUGACGUCAAGUCCUCAUGGCCCUUAUAGGUAGGGCUACACACGUCAUACAAUGGAUGGUACAAAGGGUCGCCAACCCGCGAGGGGGAGCCAAUCCCAUAAAACCAUUCGUAGUCCGGAUCGCAGUCUGCAACUCGACUGCGUGAAGUCGGAAUCGCUAGUAAUCGUGGAUCAGAAUGUCACGGUGAAUACGUUCCCGGGUCUU